rnacentral:rRNA from 1 species
GAUGAACGCUGGCGGCGUGCCUAAUACAUGCAAGUCGAACGGAGGAUUUUAUUUCGGUAGAAUUCUCAGUGGCGAACGGGUGGGUAACGCGUUGGUGACCUGCCCCGAAGUGCGGGAUAACGGCUCGAAAGGGCUGCUAAUACCGCAUGUGGUCUAGAGGCCUAGAAUCUCUUUACUAAAGAAGAAAUUCGCUUCGGGAGGGGCCUGCGUCCCAUCAGCUAGUUGGCAGGGUAAUGGCCUACCAAGGCGACGACGGGUAGGGGG